UCCACAUUGUAAACAUACAGCUGACUGAUACAUGAAAAAUAAAGACACGUUGCAUCAAAUUAGAUAACGGAUCAAUUGACUACCUUAUAUAAUGGAGUAGUCCCGAGGUCCUCACACAAGCUUAUUUAGAGACUUUACUCUACCAAGAAUUUUUCCUUCCACAAUGUUGCCUCUCUAUUUUGACUUAGGAAAUUUUUUCGGUAAACAAACUUCUUGCAGGUCAUCCUCGGAGGAGAUUAGUUCUUCCACACCUCGGCCGCCUCAUUCAGUUCGGCUCUCACCGACCUCAGAGUUAGUCGAGUAGCGCUCCAACAUCGGUUUGAAAUUUUGUGGCAAUAGAGACAAUAAAGGAUGACUCAAAAUUGUCGCUCCUUAUUGUCUUGGUUUUCUUUUGCCUCUGAAUCACUAGUAUUGCCUAUUAGGAGAAGAGUCUGAUGGAAAAAAUGUUGGACAUCUC
rnacentral:lncRNA from 1 species